rfam:Pteropus alecto contig94228, whole genome shotgun sequence.
GUCUAUGACCAUGCCACCCUGAACAAGCCCGAUCCUGUCUGAUCUCAGAAGCUAAGCAGGGUUGGGCUUGGUUAGUACUUGGAUGGGAGACCACCUAGGAAGACUAGGUGCUGUAAGGC